UACGGAGGGUGCAAGCGUUAUCCGGAUUUAUUGGGUUUAAAGGGUACGUAGGCGGUAAUUUAAGUCAGUGGUGAAAGUCUGCAGCUCAACUGUAGAAUUGCCAUUGAUACUGGAUUACUUGAAUAUAGUGGAGGUAAGCGGAAUAAGUAGUGUAGCGGUGAAAUGCUUAGAUAUUACUUAGAACACCGAUUGCGAAGGCAGCUUACUAUACUAUUAUUGACGCUGAUGUACGAAAGCGUGGGUAGCGAACAGG
rnacentral:rRNA from 1 species